rnacentral:lncRNA from 1 species
CAGUGGCGUAGCCAGGGUUGAAAUGAUGUGGAUGCCUUUGCCGAGCGGAGCGAGGCGAAUUUUUUUUAGACUAUUUUAUGCAGAAAAUUAUAUUUUUUUUUCAGACAUUGUUCCUGUAAGCACAUGUACUCCCCUAGAAUACGACAGUGAUUAGAUUUUUGUUUAAUUUCAAAAUACCCACGAAUUCAUAUAAUUAUAUUUCAAACAAAAUUUUAAUGUUUUCUCGAAAUUCUCGAAAUUGAAUGUAAUUCAUAAUUUAUUUAUUUGAUGUAAAAGUUUCCCACCAAUCUUAUAUUUGACAUCUCAUAAACGGCCCCAUCACAGCGGCACUUCUGUAUAAAGGAAUUGAAGUGAUCCCCUUUCCUAGCAUUUCUCAAAAAACGGCCCCAUCACAGCGGC